ACAGAUAUGUAUAUAUUAGAUCUGGUACCACGCCGGUACGAAUAUAUAUAUGUUGGAUCGGGUACCAUACCGGUAUAGAUAUGCAUAUGUUGGAUCAGGUACCACGCCGGUACGGAUAUAUUAGACCGGGUACCACACCGAUAUGGAUGUGUAUAUGUUGGAUCGAGUACUACGUCGGUACGGAUAUGUAUAUGUUGGAUCGGGUACCACGCCGAUAUGGAUGUGUAUAUGUUGGAUCGGGUACCACGCCAGUACGGAUGUGUAUAUGUUGGAUUGGAUACCAUGACGGUACGGAUAUGUAUAUGUUGGAUCGGGUACAACGCCAGAACGGAUAUGUAUAUGUUGGAUCGGGUACCACGCUAGUAUGAAUAUAUAUAUGAUGGAUC
rnacentral:lncRNA from 1 species